rnacentral:rRNA from 1 species
UACGUAGGAGGCGAGCGUUGUCCGGAGUACUGGGCGUAAAGCGCACGCAGGCGGUCCAAACAGUCUGCAGGGACAGGGCACAGCUUAACUGUGUCAGGCCUGUGGAUACUCUUGGACUUGAGGGCUUCAGAGGGAUGGGGAAUUCCGGGUGGAGUGGUGAAAUGCGUAGAGAUCCGGAAGAACACCAAAGGCGAAGGCACCAUCCUGGGAAGUACCUGACGCUCGGGUGCGAAGGCUAGGGGAGC